rnacentral:rRNA from 1 species
UACGAAGGGGGCUAGCGUUGCUCGGAAUCACUGGGCGUAAAGGGUGCGUAGGCGGGUCUUUAAGUCAGGGGUGAAAUCCCGAGGCUCAACCUCGGAACUGCCUUUGAUACUGGGGAUCUCGAGUCCGGGAGAGGUGAGUGGAACUGCGAGUGUAGAGGUGAAAUUCGUAGAUAUUCGCAAGAACACCAGUGGCGAAGGCGGGUCUCUGGACAGUUCCUGACACUGAGGCACGAAGGCCAGGGGAGCAAACGGG